GCUGUCUAUGGCCACACCACCCUGAAUGCACCCGAUCUCGUCUGAUCUCGGAAGCUAAGCAGGGUCGGGCCUGGUUGUACUUGGGUGGGAGAUUAAUUUAGCCACACUGAGCUGACAGCA
ensembl:rRNA 5S_rRNA 5S ribosomal RNA